rnacentral:lncRNA from 1 species
GGAGGAACGAGAAAACCAAAUCAAAUAAUUUUCAGUCUUAGUUUAAAUAGGCGCCAACCUGUAUAACGAGAGGAAUAAUUUUCAGUCUUAGCUUAAAUAGGCGCCCGCCUGUAUAACGAGAGGAAUAAUUUUCAGUCUUAGUUUAAAUAGGCGCUCACCUAUAUAAAGAGAGGAAUAAUUUCAUGUCUUAGUUUAGAUAGGCGCCCACCUGUAUAACGAGUGGAAUACUUUUCAUGUCUUAUUUUAAAUAGGCGCCCACCUGUAUAACGAGAGGAAUAAUUUUCAGUCUUAGUUUAAAUAGGCGCCCACCUGUAUAACGAGAGGAAUAUUUUCAGUCUUAGUUUAAAUAGGCGCCCACCUGUAUAACGAGAGGAAUAUUUUUAGUCUUAGUUUAAAUAGGCGCCCACCUGUAUAACGAGAGGAAUAUUUUCAGUCUUAGUUUAAAUAGGCGCCCACCUGUAUAACGAGAGGAAUAAUUUUCGUGUCUUAGUUUAAAUAGGCGCCCACCUGUAUAACGAGAGGAAUAAUUUUCAUGUCUUAGUUUAAAUAGGCGCCCACCUGUAUAACGAGAGGAAUAUUUUCAUGUCUUAGUUUAAAUAGGCGUCCACCUGUAUAACCAGAGGAAUAUUUUCAGUCUUAGUUUAAAUAGGCGCCCACCUGUAUAAUGAGAGGAAUAUUUUCAGUCUUAGUUUAAAUAGGCGCCCACCUGUAUAACGAGAGGAAUAUUUUUAGUCUUAGUUUAAAUAGGCACCCACCUCUAUAACGAGAGGAAUAUUUUCAGUCUUAGUUUAAAUAGGCGCCCACCUGUAUAACGAGAGGAAUAAUUUUCAUGUCUUAGUUUAAAUAGGCGCCCACCUAUAUAACGAGAGGAAUAUUUUCAUGUCUUAGUUUAAAUAGGCGUCCACCUGUAUAACGAGAGUAACAUUUUCAGUCUUAGUUUAAAUAGGUGCCCACCUGUAUAACGAGAGGAAUAUUUUCAGUCUUAGUCUAAAUAGGCGCCCACCUGUAUAACGAGAGGAAUAUUUUCAGUCUUAGUUUAAAUAGGCGCCCACCUGUAUAACGAGAGGAAUAUUUUCAGUCUUAGUUUAAAUAGGCGCCCACCUGUAUAACGAGAGGAAUAAUUUUCAUGUCUUAGUUUAAAUAGGCGCCCACCUGUAUAACGAGAGGAAUAUUUUCAUGUCUUAGUUUAAAUAGGCGCCCACCUGUAUAACCAGAGGAAUAUUUUCAGUCUUAGUUUAAAUAGGCGCCCACCUGUAUAAUGAGAGGAAUAUUUUCAGUCUUAGUUUAAAUAGGCGCCCACCUGUAUAACGAGAGGAAUAUUUGCAGUCUUAGUUUAAAUAGGCGCCCACCUGUAUAACGAGAGGAAUAUUUUCAGUCUUAGUUUAAAUAGGCGCCCACCUGUAUAACGAGAGGAAUAUUUUCAUGUCUUAGUUUAAAUAGGCGCCCACCUGUAUAACGA